AGAUUUUCAUUUAAUGGCAUCUUGACCAUUGAAAAUAUAAAUUCAUGCAUUAAUGUUUUAGUUUACAGUAUAAUACAGCGUUCCUUGGAACACUUCAUACGUGAAGCCAGAGCAGAGAAACAGAGACUGUGUUUUCCUGACACACACUAUUGCUUUAAGUGGCAGCAGAGUGGCCUUGGCAGGAAGGUUCCAGAGCUCAAAGCCUGUUGUCCUGAACUGGGACUAAAGCACUAUUUAGCAUUGCUUUGCAAAGACUAAAUGUAAGUAAGUCUA